GACGAACGCUGGCGGCGUGCUUAACACAUGCAAGUCGAACGGAAAGGCCCUUCGGGGUACUCGAGUGGCGAACGGGUGAGUAACACGUGGGUGAUCUGCCCUGCACUUUGGGAUAAGCCUGGGAAACUGGGUCUAAUACCGAAUAGGACCACGCGCUUCAUGGUGUGUGGUGGAAAGCUUUUGCGGUGUGGGAUGGGCCCGCGGCCUAUCAGCUUGUUGGUGGGGUAAUGGCCUACCAAGGCGACGACGGGUAGCCGGCCUGAGAGGGUGACCGGCCACACUGGGACUGAGAUACGGCCCAGACUCCUACGGGAGGCAGCAGUGGGGAAUAUUGCACAAUGGGCGCAAGCCUGAUGCAGCGACGCCGCGUGAGGGAUGACGGCCUUCGGGUUGUAAACCUCUUUCACCAGGGGCGAAGCGUAAGUGACGGUACCUGGAGAAGAAGCACCGGCCAACUACGUG
rnacentral:rRNA from 1 species